GUGAAGAAUGGGCGGGCGGGGGGGGGGGGGGGGGGGGGGGGGGGAGAGAAGAUAUGUGUGAGGGUUGGUGUAUGUAUGGGGCUGUAGGGGAGGACGGACUGAUCUGAAAAUUAAUGAAGCCCAAACUGCAGACUACCGCGGGAGGAUGCACCUUUCAGAGAGAUGUUCUCACUCUCACACGCACACAUGCAUGCAUCUCAUGCAUACACGCACGCAUGCACAACACAUCCCCUGAAGGAUUCCUCUUCCUGCAGCUAGUCUGUGUCCUUUCCUCAUCAAGGGGAGGGAGAAAGAGGGUAUGGCUGUAGAUCUCUGGAUGAAUGUCCGUGCACAAUCAAGCCUGUAUUGCUAGGAGCUGAGUGUGCACCCGUGUGCAAAAGCGCUGGAGUGUCAAGGGCUGUUGUGCUUGCGUGUGUUUGUGUGUGCGCGCCCGCGCGGGAGACGACCGGAGCUAAGGGAAUUGAAACAGGCAGAAAAAUGAAGUACAACUAUUGGUUUAGGAGAAAAAAAGCUUCCAACAUUGCUUUUUCAGAACCGCAAAUCUUCAGAAAUGGCCAGGCAAAGCCGGAGUUCUCUCUUCCCUUAAGUGGUAGAUAGGAAGAUUUGAAAGAAGUACGGUCAUUUCCCCCGCUACUGAGUGUAAACAGCCUUUCCCUCAAAGAGGAAGUAGUGAAGAUAAGGGAGAGGAAGGACUGGAGGUUGCAAGUUACUGCUCUUCCUUGCACUCACUCAGCCAACUCUCCCGGAAAAGGGGACUGAGCGCUUCGCUGGAGUUAUUUGUAAAUAAUAGUGACGACACAGUAUCUUGUUUAUAUGGACAAGAACAUUAUUGAGGAGGCCUUUGCUGCUGAUGGAUUGCACUAGUUCUUAGUGCAAUCGCCUGGAUCCAGGGGCCUGAGAAGCAGCAGCAGCCCCAGUCGCAGCAGCAGUAGCAGUCUUGGUAUUGAGUAAGGGACUCAGAGCCCCCACCCUUCUGAAGCCAAUGCACCUCCUUAAAAAGGGCCACUCGGGGAAGUAAAGCUACCAGCCAGACGCAGCGAAACAACACAGACAGGCAAACCAGCAACGACACAAACUAAAUAGGAAAUCCAACUCAACUGCGUUUGUUUCCAAAAAAUCAUAAACACCCAAGGACAGUAAAAUGAGCUCUCCUUCUUUCUUCCCUGAGAAGAGCACGAUGUUUCUCCAUUCCACAUCCCUUUCUUACCUCCUUUUCCCCUCCUCAAAGAAAAACUAACUCAAUUAGAAAAGGAAUAAAGAAAUAAAAAUCACAGCUACGUGUAUGACCAAGUAUAUUCUC
rnacentral:lncRNA from 1 species